rnacentral:tRNA from 1 species
GGAGAGGUGCCGGAGCGGCCGAACGGGGCAUCCUGCUAAGAUGUUGGGGGAGCAAUCCCCUCGAGGGUUCGAAUCCCUCCCUCUCCG